CAACAGGGAUUGCCUGUAACGGCGAGUGAAGCGGCAAAAGCUCAAAUUUGAAAUCUGGCACCUUCGGUGUCCGAGUUGUAAUUUGAAGAAGGUAACUUUGGAGUUGGCUCUUGUCUAUGUUCCUUGGAACAGGACGUCACAGAGGGUGAGAAUCCCGUGCGAUGAGAUGCCCAAUUCUAUGUAAAGUGCUUUCGAAGAGUCGAGUUGUUUGGGAAUGCAGCUCUAAGUGGGUGGUAAAUUCCAUCUAAAGCUAAAUAUUGGCGAGAGACCGAUAGCGAACAAGUACAGUGAUGGAAAGAUGAAAAGAACUUUGAAAAGAGAGUGAAAAAGUACGUGAAAUUGUUGAAAGGGAAGGGCUUGAGAUCAGACUUGGUAUUUUGCAAGCCUUACCUUCGUGGUGGGGUCCCCUGCAGUUUACUGGGCCAGCAUCGGUUUGGAUGGUAGGAUAAUGACUUGGGAAUGUGACUUUGCUUCGGUAAAGUGUUAUAGCCCUUGUUGAUACUGCCUGUCUAGACCGAGGACUGCGUCUUUGACUAGGAUGCUGGCAUAAUGAUCUUAAGUCGCCCGU
rnacentral:rRNA from 1 species